CAGUAGCCGCGGGAAUACAGAGGGUGCGAGCGUUAAUCGGAUUUACUGGGCGUAAAGCGUGCGUAGGCGGCUUCUUAAGUCGGAUGUGAAAUCCCUGAGCUUAACUUAGGAAUUGCAUUCGAUACUGGUUAGCUAGAGUGUGGGAGAGGAUGGUAGAAUUCCAGGUGUAGCGGUGAAAUGUGUAGAGAUCUGGAGGAAUACCGAUGGCGAAGGCAGCCAUCUGGCCUAACACUGACGCUGAGGUACGAAAGCAUGGGGAGCAAACAGGAUUAGAUACCCGUGUAGUCCCUGUCUCUUAUAC
rnacentral:rRNA from 1 species